rnacentral:rRNA from 1 species
AUCGAACGCUGGCGGCAGGCCUAACACAUGCAAGUCGAGCGGAUGAAGGGAGCUUGCUCCUGGAUUCAGCGGCGGACGGGUGAGUAAUGCCUAUGAAUCUGCCUGGUAGUGGGGGAUAACGUCCUGAAACGGGCGCUAAUACCGCAUACGUCCUGUGGGUGCAAGUGGGGGAUCUUCGGACCUCUUGCUCUCUUAUGAGCCUAGGUCGGAUUAGCUAGUUGGUGGGGUAAGGGCCUACCCAGGCGACGAUCCGUAACUGGUCUGAGAGGAUGAUCAGUCACACGGGAACUGAGACACGGACCAGACUCCUGCGGUAGGCAGCAGUGGGGAAUAUUGGGCAAUGGGCGAGAGCCUGAUACAGCCAGGCCGCGUGUGUGAAGAAGGUCUUCGGAUUGGAAAGCACUUUAAGUUGGGGGGAAGGGCAGUAAGUUAAGACGUUGCGGUAUUGACGGUACCGGGAGAAGAAGCACCGGCUAACUUCGUG